rnacentral:lncRNA from 1 species
AAGCUCUAGACUUCUUUGAUAUUAUAAACCAUUGAUUAGAAUAUAGAGCCACAAAUUGAUUAAGUAUUCUCACUUAUAUCUUUUCCUUCAAUAAAUUCACCAACUUAGGUAACAAGGCUUUUGGUACAAGAAUUAGCUUCAAAUUCUAAGGCACAUGUAUAAUAGUAAAAAUGACCAUCAGUGCAACAAUCUUUAGACUAACACAUCAAAUAUCAUCUGGUAAAGAUGCAAAAGCCUUCCAAUGUCUAGAAAUCACAUCUUAGAAUCUUUUUUUUCAAGUUCUUUCAAGAAUUAAUUCCCCACAAUCUUUAGUUUGGCCAAUGUCUCCUCUGUAAAAUUGUGUCUAAUUCUUCUUCUCUCCCUCAACUUACACCCUUUCUCAGCCUUCUUAAUAUGAUCUUUAGAAUUUAAUGGUACUUAUGUUGCUACUAACCUCACUUUUGUUGCUAUAAUUUUAUACUUGAUAUUCACCAUUACUU